GAUGAACGCUGGCGGCGUGCCUAAUACAUGCAAGUAGAACGCUGAAGGAAGGAGCUUGCUCUUUCCGGAUGAGUUGCGAACGGGUGAGUAACGCGUAGGUAACCUGCCUGGUAGCGGGGGAUAACUAUUGGAAACGAUAGCUAAUACCGCAUAACAGUAGAUGUUGCAUGAUAUCUACUUAAAAGGUGCAAUUGCACCACUACCAGAUGGACCUGCGUUGUAUUAGCUAGUUGGUGAGGUAACGGCUCACCAAGGCGACGAUACAUAGCCGACCUGAGAGGGUGAUCGGCCACACUGGGACUGAGACACGGCCCAGACUCCUACGGGAGGCAGCAGUAGGGAAUCUUCGGAAAUGGACGGAAGUCUGACCGAGCAACGCCGCGUGAGUGAAGAAGGUUGUCGGAUCGUAAAGCUCUGUUGUAAGAGAAGAACGAGUGUGAGAGUGGAAAGUUCACACUGUGACGGUAUCUUACCAGAAAGGGACGGCUAACUACGUG
rnacentral:rRNA from 1 species